UGCAGUCGAACGGCAGCACGGGNGCAAUCCUGGUGGCGAGUGGCGAACGGGUGAGUAAUACAUCGGAACGUGCCCAAUCGUGGGGGAUAACGUAGCGAAAGCUACGCUAAUACCGCAUACGAUCUACGGAUGAAAGCAGGGGGUCGCAAGACCUUGCGCGAGUGGAGCGGCCGAUGGCAGAUUAGGUAGUUGGUGGGGUAAAGGCUCACCAAGCCUUCGAUCUGUAGCUGGUCUGAGAGGACGACCAGCCACACUGGGACUGAGACACGGCCCANACUCCUACGGGAGGCAGCAGUGGGGAAUUUUGGACAAUGGGCGCAAGCCUGAUCCAGCCAUUCCGCGUGCAGGAUGAAGGCCUUCGGGUUGUAAACUGCUUUUGUACGGAACGAAAAGCCUUUUUCUAAUACAGGAAGGUCAUGACGGUACCGUAAGAAUAAGCACCGGCUAACUACGUGCCAGCAGCCGCGGUAAUACGUAGGGUGCAAGCGUUAAUCGGAAUUACUGGGCGUAAAGCGUGCGCAGGCGGUGAUGUAAGACAGAUGUGAAAUCCCCGGGCUCAACCUGGGAACUGCAUUUGUGACUGCAUCGCUGGAGUGCGGCAGAGGGGGAUGGAAUUCCGCGUGUAGCAGUGAAAUGCGUAGAUAUGCGGAGGAACACCGAUGGCGAANGCAAUCCCCUGGGCCUGCACUGACGCUCAUGCACGAAAGCGUGGGGAGCAAACAGGAUUAGAUACCCUGNUAGUCCACGCCCUAAACGAUGUCNACUGGUUGUUGGGUCUUCACUGACUCANUAACGANGCUAACGCGUGAANUUGACCGCCUGGGGAGUACNGCCGC
rnacentral:rRNA from 1 species